UAGGGAAUCUUGCGCAAUGGGCGAAAGCCUGACGCAGCAACGCCGCGUGGGGGACGAAGGCCUUCGGGUUGUAAACUCCUUUCAGUGGGAACGAAAUUGACGGUACCCACAGAAGAAGCCCCGGCCAACUACGUGCCAGCAGCCGCGGUGAUACGUAGGGGGCGAGCGUUGUCCGGAUUCAUUGGGCGUAAAGAGCUCGUAGGCGGUUUGGUAAGUCGGGUGUGAAACCUCCAGGCUCAACCUGGAGACGCCACUCGGUACUGCCAUGACUCGAGUCCGGUAGGGGACCAUGGAAUUCCUGGUGUAGCGGUGAAAUGCGCAGAUAUCAGGAGGAACACCAGUAGCGAAGGCGGUGGUCUGGGCCGGUACUGACGCUGAAGAGCGAAAGCGUGGGGAGCGAACAGG
rnacentral:rRNA from 1 species